rnacentral:rRNA from 1 species
AUUGAACGCUGGCGGCAGGCCUAACACAUGCAAGUCGAACGAGUGGCGACCGGGUGAGUAAUGUCUUGGAAACUGCCUGAUGAAGGGGGAUAACCACUGGAAACGUUAGCUAAUACCGCAUACCAUCAGAUCUGCCCAUAUGGGAUUAGCUAGUUGGUGGGGUAACGGCUUACCAAGGCGACGAUCCCUAGCUGGUCUGAGAGGAUGACCAGCCACACUGGAACUGAGACACGGUCCAGACUCCUACGGGAGGCAGCAGUGGGGAAUAUUGCACAAUGGGCGCAAGCCUGAUGCAGCCAUGCCGCGUGUAUGAAGAAGGCCGUCGGGUUGUAAAGUACUUUCAGCGGGGAGGCGUUACCCACAGAAGAAGCACCGGCUAACUCCGUGCCAGCAGCCGCGGUAAUUC